CCUACGGGAGGCUGCAGUGAGGAAUAUUGGUCAAUGGACGAGAGUCUGAACCAGCCAAGUAGCGUGAAGGAUGACUGCCCUAUGGGUUGUAAACUUCUUUUAUAUGGGAAUAAAAUGUUCCACGUGUGGGAGUUUGUAUGUACCAUAUGAAUAAGGAUCGGCUAACUCCGUGCCAGCAGCCGCGGUAAUACGGAGGACCCGAGCGUUAUCCGGAUGUCUUGGGUUUAACGGGCGCGUAGGUGGAUUGUUAAGUCAGUUGUGAGAGGUUGCGGCUCAACCGUAAAAUUGCAGUUGAAACUGGCAGUCUUGAGUACAGUAGAGGUGGGCGGAAGUCGUGGUGUAGCGGUGAGAUGCUUAGAUAUCACGAAGAACGGCGAUUGCGAAGGCAGCUCACUGGACUGCAACUGACACUGAGGCUCGAAAGUGUGGGUAUCAAACAGGAUUAGAUACCCUUGUAGUG
rnacentral:rRNA from 1 species